GCUCGUAUCUAACAAAGUUUCAGGGUUAGCGCGUGAGACUUUUAAUCUCAAGGCUCAGGGUUCGAGUCCCUGGUCGGGCG